CAAUAGCGUAUAUUAAAGUUGUUGCAGUUAAAAAGCUCGUUGCUGGAUUUGUGGCGUACGGUGUGUUCCGGGCACUUGUUGUCUGAGUAACCUGCUGUUGCCAUCCUUGGGUGGAACCUGUGUGGCAUUAGGUUGUCGUGCAGGGGAUGCCCAUCAUUUACUGUGAAAAAAUUAGAGUGUUCAAAGCAGGCUUAUGCCGUUGAAUAUAUUAGCAUGGAAUAAUGAGAUAGGACUUUUUUGCUAUUUUGUUGGUUUGCGCAAAGAGGUAAUGAUUAAUAGGGACAGUUGGGGGUAUUCGUAUUCCAUUGUCAGAGGUGAAAUUCUUGGAUUUUUGGAAGACGAACUACUGCGAAAGCAUUUACCAAGGAUGUUUUCAUUAA
rnacentral:rRNA from 1 species